rnacentral:rRNA from 1 species
UACAGAGGGUGCAAGCGUUGUUCGGAAUUAUUGGGCGUAAAGGGCGCGUAGGCGGCUUGAUAAGUCAGAUGUGAAAACCCUGGGCUUAACCCAGGACGUGCAUUUGAAACUGUCAGGCUAGAGUGCAGUAGAGGUUGGUAGAAUUCCCAGUGUAGAGGUGAAAUUCGUAGAUAUUGGGAGGAAUACCGAUGGCGAAGGCAGCCAACUGGGCUGCAACUGACGCUGAGGCGCGAAAGCGUGGGGAGCAAACAGG